rnacentral:rRNA from 1 species
CCUACGUGCGGCUGCAGUGAGGAAUAUUGGUCAAUGGGCGCAAGCCUGAACCAGCCAAGUCGCGUGAGGGAUGACGGUCCUCUGGAUUGUAAACCUCUUUUGUCGGGGAGCAAGGCCCGCCACGUGUGGCGGGAAGGAGAGUACCCUACGAAAAAGCAUCGGCAAACUCCGUGCCAGCAGCCGCGGUAAUACGGAGUCGGCGGGCUUUAUCCGGAUUUAUUGGGUUUAACGGGUGCGUAGGCGGAAGGUUAAGUCAGCGGUCAAAUGUCGGUGCUCAACACCGGCCUGCUGUUGAAACUGGUCGUCUGGAGUGAGCGAGAAGCAGGCGGAAUGCGUGGUGUAGAGGUGAAAUGCAUAGAUAUCACGCAGAACGCCGAUUGCGAAGGCAGCAUACCGGCGCUCAACUGACGCUGAGGCACGAAAGCGUGGGGAUCGAACAGGAUUAGAUACCCUUGUAGUC